rnacentral:lncRNA from 1 species
CAGUGGCAUUAUAGGUUUCACAUCUACUACCUUUUAAAUACCACAGAAAAGUCACAUACGACCAAUACAAAUACCCCAAAGCAGCUGAGUUUCACCCACAUACCUGUUGCUUCUUCGUCAAAGCAAGCAAAAGCAUUCCUGAUGACAUCUUCAGGAUCAGUGCCAUUGAGCUUCUCACCAAACAUUGUGAGGAACAUUGUGAAGUUGAUGGGGCCUGGAGCCUCGUUCAUCAUGGCAUCCAGGUAUUCAUCUGUUGGGUUCUUCCCGAGGGAGGCAAGCAUGUCGUGCAAGUCCUCCUUGUCAAUGAAGCCAUCCCUGUUCUGAUCAAUCAUGUUGAAGGCCUCCUUGAAUUCCUGGAUCUGGGACUGAUCAAACAUGGCAAAUACAUUGGACGUGGCGCGCUGAGGGCGCUUCUUGGUGGUCUUCGUCUUUGCUUUUUUGCUAGACAUGUUGAUUUUUGGAUACUUUCACUCUGAGAAGGAGCAGCUUUUGUCUGGGUUCCCUUCUUAAUAGAUCUGUCUACAAGAAUGGAACUCCGGUCUCAAGCCCCCAGCGGCUGCGGCGGCGCCUCGGUGUGACGGCGAGCGAAGGAAGAGGCAGCAGCCCCAGCGCUUCCUGGAGAAACCAUCGCCCUCCCGGCGGUGGGUGGAGGCGGGCGGCGGGCCGGGGCCCGGGCGACCAGGGGAGGGGCUGUGGGGCCUCCAGGGGAGAGCGCGGAGCAGCACGGUUGCCAGAGCGAUCGCAAGCACCGGGCCGGCCGCCUCGGGGCGGCCCCACAGCCUCUCGUUCCCCCCCCCCGGGAGCGGCGCGGUGGUGCAGCCGGGGCGGGGCGCCGCGUUCUGGGUCGGGGGCGGCCGGGGCGGGAGGUGGCCGCGGGGGUCUGUUGUGUCUGCGUGCUGAUGUGGCACUCACCCUGAGGACGGCUUCAGACGUUCACCUCUAGCCCCUGGGUCAGGCACUUCUCUGGUUCAGGCGCUUCUCUGGUUUUAAAAUCUUCCUAAGCACAGUGCUUAUGCACAUUCUGCGGGUUUGAGGUCCAUGCAGUCGCUCGGGGUCGAUAACAUCGUUGUUUUAAGACAUAAAAGAUUGUGAAAUAUAGUCAGUUUGGAGAGCUGUGCUGUCAGCUUGCUGCUCCUUUAUCCCUACACUUGUCAGCUUCACCAGUGUACAGUCAGUGUUUGAGUAAAUGGUAAGUAAUAAGGAAAAGGGGGGAAAAAGGAUGAACAGGUUUCUCUGGAGUUUCCAGUUGCACUUAAUGUUGAUGGGUUAAGUUUGGGUGCUGUACAUAUUGAAGUUAAUACCUAAACAGGGCUAUGAGAAAGAAAGGGACACACUCUUUACCAGGGUCUGUUGUGGGAGGACAGGGGAAAUGGUUUCCAACUGAAAGGGGAGAUUUAGGUUGGAUAUAAGGAACAAGUUUUUAACAGAAAGGGUGGUGAGGCACUGGAACAGGUUGCCCAGAGAGGUGGUGGAUGCCCAUCCCUUCAAGCACUGAAGGUCAGGCUGAACGGGGCUCUGAGCAGCCUGAUGUAACUGUAGGUGUCCCUGUUCACUGCAGGGCAGUUGGACUAGAUGGCCUUUAAGGGUCCCUUCCAACUCAAACAAUUCUGUAAUUCUACAAUACAUCCUCUGGAAGCUAUGGUUCCAGAUUCGGAGGGAGAGACAUUAAUUGCUGGAAGGCCCAAAUUUUUUCCUCCUUCACAGAAGAGCUACGUCAUGAGGUCUGAGAAGUUACCUAAUUAAUUACUGAGACGACUUCCCUGACAAAUUCUAACAUCACUUUUCCAAAGCUAGCUUGAAGAUGCAGCGGUACUCAACUUUGUUGAAUCAAGAGCAUGCUUGUGGAAAAAAGUGCCCUCUGCUCACCAGGUCUGAGUCCAUGUGAAAUGCACAAACUAGGCAUAAUGCAGAGAAUAAGCAGAAACAGAAAUUGACUUGGAGAUUAAGACCUUUUCAUGGCU